UGGGAAGAAGCUUAAUUUGGUGGAAACUGCCACAAGGUUAUAUCUUUAACAAAGGAAUACUUAACUUAAUAAUACCUAAUAUGAAAAAUUAUUAUAUUAUUAUAAAAUUUAAAUUAAUUGUUUAAUUUAAGAGUAGUUUGUAUGCUAAUAUUAAAAUACAAUUUUAUAUUGUAGUUAGUCAUUUAUAAUUUAAAACACCUUUGUUAAGCUAAUUAGUGUCAGUUAAUUCAUUUAAGUAACAUCU
rnacentral:rRNA from 1 species